rnacentral:rRNA from 1 species
UCGAGAAUCAUUCACAAUGGGGGAAACCCUGAUGGUGCGACGCCGCGUGGAGGAUGAAGGCCUUCGGGUCGUAAACUCCUGUCAUGCGGGAACAAGAAAGUGAUAGUACCGCAAGAGGAAGAGACGGCUAACUCUGUGCCAGCAGCCGCGGUAAUACAGAGGUCUCAAGCGUUGUUCGGAUUCAUUGGGCGUAAAGGGUGCGUAGGUGGCGAUGUAAGUCUGGUGUGAAAUCUCGGGGCUCAACCCCGAAACUGCAUUGGAUACUAUAUCGCUAGAGGAUUGUAGAGGAGAGUGGAAUUCAUGGUGUAGCAGUGAAAUGCGUAGAUAUCAUGAGGAAGACCAGUUGCGAAGGCGACUCUCUGGGCAAUUCCUGACACUGAGGCACGAAGGCCAGGGGAGCGAACG